rnacentral:rRNA from 1 species
UUCGGUGGUCAUAGCGUGAGGGAAACGCCCGGUUACAUUCCGAACCCGGAAGCUAAGCCUCACAGCGCCGAUGGUACUGCAGGGGGG